AGCAAUUCGAGUUUUCAACUUCCUGGCUUUCGUAUGCCUGCAAUGCUCAAGGAUGAAGAAGUAAGUGAUUCUGAUGGUGAGAGUUUUGAGGCUGUCACUCCCGAACACCCUGCUGGGAAGCCCAAUGGAGAAGAGGCUAUCCUGGUUAUUGAGAAGCACAAACGUAUCCUGGAAGAUGUUGAUGGUGAACUUGAAAUGGAAGAU
rnacentral:misc_RNA from 1 species